rnacentral:tRNA from 1 species
GACUUGGUAGCCUAGUUGGUAAAGGCAGCACUUCUAGUAUAGUCUGUUAAGCUAAGGUCGCUGGUUCAUAUACUGCCCAAGUCA